UACGUAGGGUCCGAGCGUUGUUCGGAAUUACUGGGCGUAAAGGGCUCGUAGGCGGCCAACUAAGUCCGACGUGAAAUCCCCAAGCUUAACUUGGGAACUGCGUCGGAUACUGGAUGGCUUGAAUUCGGGAGAGGGAUGCAGAAUUCCAGGUGUAGCGGUGAAAUGCGUAGAUAUCUGGAGGAAUACCGGUGGCGAAGGCGGCAUCCUGGACCGACAUUGACGCUGAGGAGCGAAAGCUAGGGGAGCAAACGGG
rnacentral:rRNA from 1 species